AUGGGGCUGCUACCUGCAGUCGAGCGGCAGCGGAAGUACCUUGCUCUUUGCCGGCGAGCGGCGGACGGGUGAGUAAUGUCUGGAAUCUGCCUGAUGGAGGGGGAUAACUACUGGAAACUGUUGCUAAUACCGCAUAACGUCUCAAGACCAAAGAGGGGGACCUUCGGGCCUCUCGCCAUCAGAUGUGCCCAGAUGGGAUUAGCUAGUAGGUGGGGUAACGGCUCACCUAGGCGACUAUCCCUAGCUGGUCUGAGAGGAUGACCAGCCACACUGGAACUGAGACACGGUCCAGACUCCUACGGGAGGCAGCAGUGGGGAAUAUUGCACAAUGGGCGCAAGCCUGAUGCACCCAUGCCGCGUGUAUGAACAAGGCCUUCGGGUUGUAAAGUACUUUCAGCGGAGAGGAAGGCGCUGAUGUUAAUAACCUCAGCAUUUGACGUUACCCGCAGAAUAAGCACCGGCUAACUCCGUGCCAGCAGCCGCGGUAAUACAGAGGGUGCAAGCGUUAAUCAGAAUUACUGGGCGUAAAGCGCGCGCACGCGGUCUGUCGAGUCAGAUGUGAAAUCCCCGGGCUCAACCUGGGCUCUGCAUUCGAAACUGGCGGACUAGAGUCGUGUAGGGGGGUAGUAGCAUCUCCUGUGCACGUGAAAAUAGCGACAUAAAGGC
rnacentral:rRNA from 1 species